ACUGACUGGUUCAGUGUGUGUCUACCCUACGCCAACAGGUGCGGGUAACCCGUUGAACCCCAUUCGUGAUGUGGGUCGGGGAUUGUAAUUAUUCCCCAUGAAC
rnacentral:ncRNA from 1 species